UACGUAGGGUGCGAGCGUUGUCCGGAAUUAUUGGGCGUAAAGAGCUCGUAGGCGGUUUGUCGCGUCGGCCGUGAAAACUGGAGGCUUAACCUCCAGCUUGCGGUCGAUACGGGCAGACUUGAGUUCGGUAGGGGAGACUGGAAUUCCUGGUGUAGCGGUGAAAUGCGCAGAUAUCAGGAGGAACACCGGUGGCGAAGGCGGGUCUCUGGGCCGAUACUGACGCUGAGGAGCGAAAGCGUGGGGAGCAAACAGG
rnacentral:rRNA from 1 species